AAAGGGAAAAUAUUUAUAGCCUGAAGAUGAGCUCGCGUCCGAUUAGCUAGUUGGUGGGGUAAAGGCCUACCAUGGCGACGAUCUGUAGCUGGUCUGAGAGGAUGAUCAGCCACACCGGGACUGAGACACGGCCCGGACUCCUACGGGAGGCAGCAGUGGGGAAUAUUGGACAAUGGGGGCAACCCUGAUCCAGCCAUGCCGCGUGUGUGAAGAAGGCCUUUUGGUUGUAAAGCACUUUAAGCAAUGAAGAAGACUCCAUGGUUAAUACCCAUGGACGAUGACAUUAGCUGCAGAAUAAGCACCGGCUAACUCUGUAUUACCGCG
rnacentral:rRNA from 1 species